AUGCCCAGCUGCGGCCGCAUGGACGCCCCCACUGAGACGGGGCCCCUGGGCCUGGGGUGGGGGGCGCCUUCUCGGCCCGCAGGGGGCUCUGAGAAAGCACGUGUCACGGGCAGGCAGGGCCAGGGAGCACCGCUCACCCCUGACCAACUCAGAAACAUCCGCCUGGUUACCCCGAACCAGGCCCCAGUGUGCAGGGUGAGGGCAACCCCCUGGAACGGGCGGUCUCAGCUCCAUUUACACAACGUCUCCCCAGGCAGCGCCUGGAUGGGCGGUGGGGGCCGCUCUGACUGCAGGAGAGCUUGGGAGAUGAACCCGAAGGAGGCAAUGGGCUGUGGCUUCCCACGAAACAUGCGAGACCCCCAGGUCCUCUCAUCUAAAAGGCGCCAGUGACACCCACCUGGCCCAGCCUCCCGUUGUCGGUCCCAGCACGGCCUGGACACGAGAGCGUCCCCAAAACCUGAGGCUUCUGCGGGCUGGGACUGGACACACGCGAGCAUAACAGACACAAAAGUUACACCUGAAAGAUCUCCGCUCCAACUUCUGGUCGAUGUGCUCAGCCAGAAGGUCAGAGCGCGGAAUUUGCUGGAUAAAUAAAUGUUGGUGGGGCGGAUGAAUCACCGGAGAAUUGGUGCAUGGCAGCGAAUGAAUAGCCUGCAAAUGCCGCCCAGACCCCAUUAUUUCCGCUUCUCCCGCAGCCUGAGAUUCAUGUCCCCGCAUGCCGCCAGUUCAUUACCGACCAGCAUCAUCCCUCUUCCGCACUCGCUGGGCAGUGCGCGGCCCCUGGAGGGCCCUUUACUGCUUAAUUCCCCAUCAUCCGCUCCACUGAACAGCUUAAUCUCUGCUUGUAUGAUCAAUACUAUAUCAGUGUAAAUUAAAAUGACAAUUUUAAAGUAAUUAAGCCUGUUAAUGCUCGAUUCAAAUGUCAUUAUUUGCACAAGGGAUCGAGGAGAAAUUACACGGUGUCUGGGGUGACAGGAAGAUGUCUGAGCCGGGGCCGGCCGCUGUGCGGAGCCACUGGGGGCUUCAGCAAAGCGGAUUAACUCUGCUGCGCCCCGCCAGGCUACCUACCCAAUUUCUGAAGAGGAUAACGCAAUUUGAUAAAUCUAAUUCCAGCGACAAACUCAAUUAUUGUGAUAACAGAUGAAACCUGGGAGGAGGUUCUGUACCAGGUCCACAGUUUAGAAAAUACACUUAACUCCGGAACGAGGUACAACAGUUUUGAUUUGAUUGGAUUUGUUCUCUCUCUUCGGAAAACCCUUUAGGUAAUUUCAGUGGUUGGAAGAAGGGCCUGCGUUUAUUGAAUAGUGGGGCUCUGAGCCCAGUGGGGCCACAGCCCUGUGCUCGGAACGCCGCACUUAUACAGCACAAUCAGAUCACGCAUUCCCAGGUCCUGGGGGCUAACACAGAAACCUUGGCCUUGCCCGAUCCCGGCUGGUCUGGGCCCAGCUCGGACAGCUGGGUCCAGCCUUUGUUUUCCUGAGUGGUGCAGGGAGUGAGGGGGUUUAUAUAAAGAAAAUUAGACAAACAGAAAGCAGCUCAGCUUUACCCGCCCGUGACCCAGAGCGCUGGGCACACAGCACAGCCGGCCCGGCUGACCGAGCCUCCUGUGCAGGCACUUCUGCACUUGGGCCACUUAUGGGGGGUGGUGCACAUGGGGGGCACUGGCCCGAGUCCCGGGGGCGCCGCUCCGAGGGGACACCGGCCGGCCCUGGGCCCCGUUUAUCAGAUCAGCACUAAGAAUUGACAACCAAGCAUUAACAUCAAGAUGAAGAGAGAACUGUAGCCGUCGGGCGCCCGGGCCGGCCCUGGGCCCCGUUUAUCAGAUCAGCACUAAGAAUUGACAACCAAGCAUUAACAUCAAGAUGAAGAGAGAACUGUAGCCGUCUCUGCCUGAAAGCCCGGUAAACCGUGCAGCCGGCCUUCCAAGGCUCUGUCCAGAAUGUGGCCCCGGGGAGCAGAAGGGGCCUGGCCACACGGGGCCAGGACCGCCAGCUCUGACCCUGGUUUGCGUGUCGUCGGAGCCUCACGCCCGCUGCGGAGGAGGGCCCGUCAGGACCCCUGUACCUGGCGAGCCCACGCCGUUCCCCUCUGGCCGACGGCGCUGGCACACACAGGACGUGGCAUAACGUGGACGGGCGAGCCCCACAGACACAGAUCCAGAAAGGGCUGUGGAGGCACGCCCCCACCCGC
rnacentral:lncRNA from 1 species